UCCAGCUCCAAUAGCGUAUAUUAAAAUUGUUGCAGUUAAAAAGCUCGUAGUUGAAUUUCUGCUGCAUUGCUUUUGCUCCUUUACGAGUCUUUGCAUUGUGGCUUAUUUCGGACUUUGUUUUACAAUGUCCGGAUGUUUACUUUGAGAAAAUUAGAGUGCUCAAAGCAGGCUUUCGCCUUGAAUAGUUUAGCAUGGAAUAAUAAAGUAGGACUUUGGUUCUAUUUUGUUGGUUUUAGGUACCAAAGUAAUGGUUAAUAGGAACAGUUGGGGGCAUUCGUAUUUAACUGUCAGAGGUGAAAUUCUUAGAUUUGUUAAAGACGAACUACUGCGAAAGCAUUUGCCAAGGAUGUUUUCAUUAAUCAAGAACGAAAGUUAGGGGAUCGAAGACGAUCAGAUACCGUCGUAGUCCUAACCAUAAACUAA
rnacentral:rRNA from 1 species